UCCUUCUCUCUCCGCGAAGGCUGGGAAAAACGCACCCAAGAAAAUUCGAGUCGCAGCCGUUUCAUCUUCUGGGUAUCCAAUGGUAAUGGAAUUAAAGAUGCAAAAAUAAGUUACAACCCAGUUCCGCAGCAUAUGGUGUAGUUCGCUAUCGUUCUCCGCAAUCAUCGGUUGAAGAGGUAAAAUAGUUAGGGACACGAAAUCUACAACAUUCAGGUGACUCCGGAGCCAAAAUUGCACACCUGGAUGGAAGGCGAGACAGAUCGUAAGGCGUUGCAGUCUCUAGAUAUAAGAUAUUGAUGGGAUUUGUAAAAUGAAAUAGUGUGUUUUUACGGUUGAUAGAGAUGAAUCUUAGAGUGUUCAAUUCAAAAUUGUGUGGAAGUCAUGACUAGAUGAGCUCUGUGCGGACUUGCUUCUGUACUGAAGUAUAUUGGUUUAAGAAAAGUAACUCAGAUAGAAAAAAGGGAGUUGAUUAUUCGUUUUGUCUCGCAGAUAGUCCUCAGCUAGCCGAGACAAUAAUAAUGUGAAAUCCGGGUGGAAAGGUGUUUUAUGGUUCAUGAAGAUAUUUUUUCAUAUUACGAAUAUCGAAAUAUCCAAGAGAAUUAAGUUCUUGCCAUUCGACGUGGAUAGAUUCCCGAGUCUCUAAUUUGCACAAUGUAUUACAUUUCCUUAACCAUUGAGUUAUGGUUCCAUUUCCAGGUCUUCAUAAUUGCUGCAGCUGAUGAAUGUAGGAUAUUAUUAGACAAAAAAAUGAUGGAGAAAAUAGUUCGAUAUUAGGGAAUCUUAUAUUCGUCGAGUUAUCAAGGGUACUGAUUUGUAGACAAAGCUAGAGACAAAUGCAGGUUUGAUUUCAUGGGACUGCUGACAAAUACCAUUGGAAGCUCUAUUUUCAAGGUAUUGUUAAUGUCAAGUGCAGAAAACUAAAAUACCUCUAUGCAAGAAAAAGAAUUGAUAUGUGUACAAUUCAUUAGGAAGCUAACUGAGAAACGAAUGUAAUGUCCAAAUUCAUUUGGAAGCUAACCGAGAAAGAAUGGAUAUGUGUAUAAUUAUAACAUGGGCUGAAUGAUCCUUGACUUCUGCUGGAUGGGUCCCCUGUACAGCUAACAAACUCAAUGAUGUUAAAUGUCUAGGUACAAUUAGGGUAAUACCUUGGAUAAGUUCAUUUUCCGCUUGA